rnacentral:lncRNA from 1 species
AUUUUCAGCUUUAUUGUAUGUUUACACAUUUUCAUAAUAAAAUGUUAAGAGAAAAAUAGAUUACUGUAACACUGAUUCAUAACUACAUAGCACAUCACCAUUACAUCUUAAUAAUCACAUAUAUUAAAAGUCAAGUUUGAAAAUAAAUUUAGAAAACAUUCAGAAUCUAAUUUAUAGCUCUGUUACAAUUUUAAUUUAUUGGAGCGCUACCUAAUCUGCUUAUUGCUUGUUUACUCCAUGAUGACUGGAACUCAGUUUCCAAAAUACUUGACUGAAUUUUCCUUCCUUUUUGAAAAUGUUUCUGGAUUUUUUUUUUUGUAUAAGAAAAAAACAACUCUGUACUUCGUUUUUCUUUGCAGCUAUUGACCUCAGUCUCUAAUGCCUGCUUGCCCACACAUCUUAAGGGCUGCUUCAUCGGGCAUCACCAUUCUCUUCCUUCCCACUCAAAAUUGAAUUAUAAAUUCAGUUUCUUAUUCACACUAGCCAUAUUUGAAGUGCUCGAUUUCCCACAUGUGGCAGAUAUCAAGCCCUUCUACCACUGUGGAAAGUUCUCCUGUCCAGCACUAGUGUAGACAGAAACCUGCAGCAGCACCUUUGGCUCCACUGGCCUCCAUUCACUGUUGGGCCCCCUCCACAGUCUUGGCAGAAAGAAUACACUGACACACUGCCCCUUCCAGGAUGGUAACUCUGGAGACCAAAGUUCAACCAAUGGAAGGUCAAAUGGUUCCAGCUCCAAUUUCCAUCUCAUUAGAGAACAAUGUUCUAUAGCUAUUUGCCCAGGUAUUUCCAAGUAUAAAGAAAGAAAGAAAAAAAAAACAAUUAUACUUAGUUCACAGUUUUACUUAUCUCCACUUUCUCUUCUUUUCCCGAGUCCAGUCUACUCUCUUAUAUUUAUAAAAUGAUGAAAGUACUCACAAGGUCUGAUUAUCAAUAGGGAGCAACAUGUAGGGCUAAGUAAUUGCGUGGAAAACACGCUAGCCUUCUUUCUCCCCAGGCCAUACCACCUACUGUACAGAUGAGGGAAAACGAUAAGGUAGCAAGCUAUUUUAAUUAGGCUCAAAAACUCUGAAAACCUGCAGGGUCACUUCUUUCUCUCAGCUUACUCAAAGGGGCAGUGGGCAUUAAGAUCUGAUUUAUCCAAAUUGUAAUCCCAUAGUUAUGAAAUCACUAAUAAAGUCACCACAGACUACUGGAAAAAAAUAUGAUUAAAUUUAGGUCAAAGGAGGUGGAAGAACUUUGAAGGACUGGGAGAUGAAAGAGACCUGAGACUGAAUGGUUCAAAAUAUUACCUGCUCAGAGAUGCCUCAAGCUAAAUUAUUUGUUUCCUAACAUUUCCAAUGCAGUAUCUUGCUAGAAAUAUUAGAUUGUUAGGUAUUAUAAAUUCUGCAUGGCUUUUAAAGUAAUUUUACUCUGAGAAAUUGAAAAUGUUUAAGUAAUUUUAGUAGUAUCUUACUUUAAAAACUGAUCUUUCAAAAAUCAGUCUUCUCUGAAGUAUCAGAGGAUCCAAA